UGAGGAAUAUUGGUCAAUGGGCGAGAGCCUGAACCAGCCAAGUAGCGUGCGGGAUGAAGGCCCUAUGGGUUGUAAACCGCUUUUACAGGGGGAUAAAGUGAGUCACGUGUGAUUCAUUGCAGGUACCCUGCGAAUAAGGACCGGCUAAUUCCGUGCCAGCAGCCGCGGUAAUACGGAAGGUCCGGGCGUUAUCCGGAUUUAUUGGGUUUAAAGGGAGCACAGGCCGGCUGUCAAGCGUGUUGUGAAAUGUAGGGGCUCAACCUCUGAACUGCAGCGCGAACUGACGGUCUUGAGUGCGCACAACGUUGGCGGAAUUCGUCGUG
rnacentral:rRNA from 1 species